CCCCUCUCAGGGUCACACCUGGAGAGCUCCCAGUACUCUACCAGUCUCGACUACAGGAGGGAAAGUCAGGCAGAGGCCUAUCCAUUCCAUUCCUAGCUUGGGCAGUGGCUAGUGAGUAGAAGGCAAACUGCUACCAGU
rnacentral:snoRNA from 1 species